AUACUUACCUGGCAGGGAAGAUACCAUGACCACGAAGGUGGUUUUCUCAGGGCGAGGCCUAUCCACUGCACUCCAGGUGGACUGACCCCUGCAAUUUCCCAAAUGUGGGAAAUUCCACUGCAUAAUUUGUGGUAGUGGGGGACCUGUGUUCGCGGUCUCCCCUA